rnacentral:rRNA from 1 species
AUGCACGCUGGCGGCGUGCCUAAUACCUUCCAGUCGCGCGAACAGACGAGGAGCUUGCUCCUCUGACGUUAGCGGCGGACGGGUGAGUAACACGUGGAUAACCUACCUAUAAGACUGGGAUAACUUCGGGAAACCGGAGCUAAUACCGGAUAAUAUAUUGAACCGCAUGGUUCAAUAGUGAAAGACGGUUUUGCUGUCACUUAUAGAUGGAUCCGCGCCGCAUUAGCUAGUUGGUAAGGUAACGGCUUACCAAGGCAACGAUGCGUAGCCGACCUGAGAGGGUGAUCGGCCACACUGGAACUGAGACACGGUCCAGACUCCUACGGGAGGCAGCAGUAGGGAAUCUUCCGCAAUGGGCGAAAGCCUGACGGAGCAACGCCGCGUGAGUGAUGAAGGUCUUCGGAUCGUAAAACUCUGUUAUUAGGGAAGAACAAAUGUGUAAGUAACUAUGCACGUCUUGACGGUACCUAAUCAGAAAGCCACGGCUAACUACGUG